GGCCCUUUAGAUCAGUUGGUUAGAGCACUCGACUCUUAAUCGAAUGGUCGUUGAUUCAAGUCUAGCAAGGCCCU
rnacentral:tRNA from 1 species